CGUGGUAGCACCAUGGACUUGGGAGAAGCUGGGGAAGCAAGAAGGAACCAGGUAGAAUUACAACUGUCCCGUGUUGUCCCUUCCGACCUCCAUACGCCAAGACUCAGGUGACUUCACACACCCUCACAGCUCUCUGCCUCCCCAUUAGGAGAGUGUAGAGCUAUCCGCCCUAAGGGUGGGGAUAAGGAAAUUUAGGACAGGUGGAGAUAAAGGAUGUCAAAGAGAAACGAAUCCCUCUUCUUCUCCUCUCUUCCCCUGGAAGCCUGCCACGCUUCUGACUCCCCAGUCUUUUGUGUGUUAAGUUCUUAUUCUGGCAGAUAAACAUGUUAUAUUCCCUAUUGCACUGACCUUCCUCAGGAGAGGGCAAUGGAGGGUUGUGCCUCGACCCUCCUCGAGUUUGCCGGACGCUCCUCUUGUCCUUGCUGACGUUAGCUUGCUCGGAUCAACCUGAUCGCCAUCUCUAACAUAGACGGUUUUGUGAGGCCUGUGGUGCCCUUUUGAAAGCGACCCAAAGCGAAGGCGGGUCUUGGGAAGCUCUGGAAAGGUAACACUUUAGGAACUAAACUUUAUUUAGGAAACAGUAACCCACCAGCCAACAGCAGCAGAGAAGAAGCAGCAGGUGUCCAGUCUCCUGACCGUCGGGAAAGGGGGCACCAAGGGCAAGGACUCCCAACUGCCCACACAGCGUGGAUCGGACACGCCCUCAGAAAGGAGCCCAGUUUCCCCCAGGAGCUCUUCUUUUCGUCCUGGAACAGAGUAAGCCGUCCCUUUGGGGACUUCUCAGACGGCUUCUGUGCUGGGAGCUGACAGAAGAAGCUAAAUGCAGCAAGAACACCAGGAGGUCUCAGACGUCAUGGCUUUACCAGAGGACAGAUGCCAUCAGUCCCUGAGCAGAAACCUGACUUCCCCUCCGUCCUUUGAAAAACGGUGAUGCCCUGGCUCUGCUCACACAUUGUCCAGUCAACCUGGGCACCUCUGGCCAGAUGGUGGACGUGCGACAAUGUCCUCCUGGCUGCGUAGCGUUUCCUGGUCAGGACGCCAUUCACAUGUCCAUCUCGAGCACUCACACUAGGGUUAGUGCCGUGCACUUUGUUAAGUUGCUCACUGGAAACCAUUUUAGACGGCAGGGUAAUCAACGAGCGACCAAUAUUAGCACAUGUAAUCUUACACACUCAAUGUAGCUGCCCCUCCCCUUAUCUAGAACUAGAUUUUUGUGCUCUAGGUUUCCUGUAGUCGAUAUCGAUCUGAACAUAUUAAGUGGGAAGUUCCAUGAAUAAAUAAUAGGUAUUAUAUUAUACUAUUCUGGGUAGCAUAAUACUGCGUACUCUCUGGCUCAGGGGGGUGUGGCUCACCCUCUCGUCCAGUGUGCUUACACCGUGAUUGCUACUUGCUUGUAAGUCACUUACUGACUCUGCCGGUUACGCAACCUGUAGCCCUACAAAGCCCAAGGAAGACAGCAUGUUCACAUAACUUUUAUGGGAACACUGCUAAACUCUUGCCUAGUUUACAAACUGCUCUUUAUCAGAGUCACAUCUGUACUUAAAGUAAAAGCACGGGGGUGUAUGGGAAUUGCUGCCAUGCACAGCUUCAGGUACUUGAUGCGGGCUCCAAAGUGUGUUCCCCAGGGGGUGAGAUGGAUCAUUUGCAUGCGUGACAGUUAACCCUGGCUGCCAACUUGACUGGUUCUGGAAUCAGCUAAAAGGCGAGGCACUGGGCUCACCUGUGAGGGAUUUUUCUGACCAGGGCGUUUGAGGUGGGGAGGCUCACAUUAGAUGUGCAGAGCAGCUUCCUGUGGUGAUGCAGAUGAAAAGUGAUGGAGAAGGGGAGCCUUGCUUUUUAGCAUCUGUGUCUUCACUCCUGCUGACAACUUCAUCUACCCGAUCGCUGCCGCUGUUGCUGCUUCCUUUGUGGUUCCAACAGGAACGGGAAGACCAGCCCUUCUCCAGGAACUGCUGAGAUAUUCAGCCUUGUGGACUGUGAUCUACCCAGACCAUAUCAGGGGCUUGACGACGAUCAUCACUUGAGCUAGAGUGGGCUGAAUCACGAAGAUAUUUGAUAACAGGACCAGCAGAAAUCGCUGAUGAACUAGAUGUGGACAUGGAAAAAUUCUUGAACACCUCCAAUGUGUUUGACAUGAGCAGCUGGAAGGAGGAAGACACCAUCCUCUGGGGGAGGGAGACUUCUUGGGAAGGAACAGGAACCCGUCUCCGCUCAAGAGCCCUUGUGAAAUGAUGAGCAGACCUUCCGGUGGGUCUGCAGGGGGAGGAACUCAGGAUCUGAGGUGUAGAAAGGAAUUCUGGACUGGAGAGAGGCUUCAGGAAACCCAACAAGCAAAAAUAUACAGGUCAAGGCUUUCAGCAGCAGCAACAACAAAAUGGUAGUUUUGUUUUCCCAUUGUGCUAGGAUUUUCAGACUGCUAUGCUCAUCCAUGU